AUUGAACGCUGGCGGCAUGCCUUACACAUGCAAGUCGAACGGCAGCGCGGGAGCAAUCCUGGCGGCGAGUGGCGAACGGGUGAGUAAUAUAUCGGAACGUGCCCAGUAGUGGGGGAUAGCCCGGCGAAAGCCGGAUUAAUACCGCAUACGACCUACGGGUGAAAGGGGGGGAUCGCAAGACCUCUCGCUAUUGGAGCGGCCGAUAUCAGAUUAGGUAGUUGGUGGGGUAAAGGCCUACCAAGCCUGCGAUCUGUAGUUGGUCUGAGAGGACGACCAGCCACACUGGGACUGAGACACGGCCCAGACUCCUACGGGAGGCAGCAGUGGGGAAUUUUGGACAAUGGGCGCAAGCCUGAUCCAGCAAUGCCGCGUGCAGGAAGAAGGCCUUCGGGUUGUAAACUGCUUUUGUCAGGGAAGAAAUCCUCUAGGCUAAUACCUUGGGGGGAUGACGGUACCUGAAGAAUAAGCACCGGCUAACUACGUGCCAGCCGCCGCCGUAA
rnacentral:rRNA from 1 species